rnacentral:rRNA from 1 species
UACGUAGGGUGCAAGCGUUAUCCGGAAUUAUUGGGCGUAAAGAGCUCGUAGGCGGUUUGUCGCGUCGUCCGUGAAAACUUGGGGCUCAACCCCCAAGCUUGCGGGCGAUACGGGCGAGACUUGAGUACUGCAGGGAGACUGGAAUUCCUGGUGUAGCGGUGAAAUGCGCAGAUAUCAGGAGGAACACCGGUGGCGAAGGCGGGUCUCUGGGCCGAUACUGACGCUGAGGAGCGAAAGCGUGGGGAGCGAACAGG